rnacentral:rRNA from 1 species
UACGAAGGGGGCUAGCGUUGCUCGGAAUUACUGGGCGCAAAGCGCACGUAGGCGGAUUGUUAAGUCGGGGGUGAAAUCCUGGAGCUCAACUCCAGAACUGCCUUCGAUACUGGCGAUCUCGAGUUCGGGAGAGGUGAGUGGAACUGCGAGUGUAGAGGUGAAAUUCGUAGAUAUUCGGAGGAACACCAGUGGCGAAGGCGGCUCACUGGUCCAUUACUGACGCUGAGGUGCGAAAGCGUGGGGAGCAAACAGG